rnacentral:lncRNA from 10 species
CGCAGAGGGGCACGCCAGCCAUGAGGACAGAUGAGGGAACACGUGAUGCCACGAUGGGGGUGCCAGGAUGAGAAAGUGCGAAGGGACUGGAAUGGAGAUCCUGAGCGGUCCUGGGUGCCGGGGCCCCGACCGGGGCUGAGCUGGUCCCCUGGUCGGGACGGCUGGGCAGAGGUGCCGAGGGGCCGCGGGCGGCCCUUCGCUGGCUCAUUCGCAUCCGCAGCCCCUCAAGAAGGCCCUGGGCCCGCAGGGAGGAAGAGUUUACCUGGAAGGUCCUCUCCUGCGCUGGCUCUGGGGGUGCUUGGAACCAGAGCCCCUUAGUCGAAGCGCGUCCUGCUGCCAGCUACUACCAAGUCCUUAGGCCGAGCCCGUUUCUCUCCUGGUGAUGUGAAUCCUCGUUUUUUGUUGUUGUUGUUGUCGUUUACUGAAGUCCCGGGCUGAUUAGACACAGCAAUGGAAGCUGGGGGUGGCCUGGGCCGUGCAUUGAAUUUGUGACUUUAGCAAGUCCCUAAAUUCCUCUCUGCCUCACUUUUGCUGUCUUUUUUAGGUUAAAAAUAUUUUGGAGAAUAGAAAACAGAACAAAACAAAAAUAAUGGCUUAUAGUGCCAAUAUGGAAUUAUAGUCACUCCUAACAUUUUGGUAUAUUGUUUUGCAUUUGCUUUGUUUCUAUUCUAUGCUUAUAUAUUUUUAAUUUUUUUCCAUCACUGUCAUCAUAUUUCCUAUUCAGGUCUCCAGCCUGCUUUAAAAAUUUUUUAAUCAUAAAGUUCCAUAAAAAUUUUAUUUCAGCCAAUUUCUUUUAUAACACGUUCUUCAUGAAUCUUAUCUGAUAUCUGCAUAAUAUUCCACUCAUACUUUGCACAAUUAGACAUUAAGGUCGUGUGUACUUUUUAAAUUAUGAUACAGCAAUUUCUAAAUAGUGUAUAAUUUCAAUUUUUGUUUCUUAGUUAUCAUAACAGUUCUUAAAAGGUGAUAACAAAUUUUUAAGUGGAUACAUUUUUUCCCCCUUCUUUGGUUUAUAAUUUUAUUGCUCUGUGGUCUGAGAAUGUGGCUGUAUUUACGCUUUUUGAAAUUGAAGUUUUUGAUUGAUGGUUGAUUUCGUAAAUAAGUUUAGGCACAGUUUUGUAUAAAUGAUUGGGCACAAAAUUCUUUAUAUUAGAUCAAGCUUUGUAAAAUGUAUUAUCCAUAUCUGCUAUGUCUUUUUAAAAUUUUUAUCUACUUGAUCUAAUUUCUGAAAGAGCUGUAAGUUUUUUAAAUGUGUUUGUGGAUUUACUAUUUCUUCUUUAUAUAUAUAUAUAUAUAUAUAUAUAU